GAUGGUGGUGGUGUAGGGGUUAAGCGCGCAACCAUGUGCUGAGGCUAUAGUCUUCGAUUCAGCUGUCCUGGGUUCGAGUCCCAGACCAACCU